rnacentral:rRNA from 1 species
GAUGAACGCUGGCGGCGUGCCUAAUACAUGCAAGUCGAGCGAACAGACGAGGAGCUUGCUCCUCUGACGUUAGCGGCGGACGGGUGAGUAACACGUGGAUAACCUACCUAUAAGACUGGGAUAACUUCGGGAAACCGGAGCUAAUACCGGAUAAUAUAUUGAACCGCAUGGUUCAAUAGUGAAAGACGGUUUUGCUGUCACUUAUAGAUGGAUCCGCGCCGCAUUAGCUAGUUGGUAUGGUAACGGCUUACCAAGGCAACGAUGCGUAGCCGACCUGAGAGGGUGGUCGGCCACACUGGAACGGAGACACGGUCCAGACUCCUACGGGAGGCAGCAGUAGGGAAUCUUCCGCAAUGGGCGAAAGCCUGACGGAGCAACGCCGCGUGAGUGAUGAAGGUCUUCGGAUCGUAAAACUCUGUUAUUAGGGAAGAACAAAUGUGUAAGUAACUAUGCACGUCUUGACGGUACCUAAUCAGAAAGCCACGGCUAACUACGUG